rnacentral:ncRNA from 1 species
UUUGUCGUGUCGUCUAAAUGCACCUGCAAGUGUCCUAAGGCGAGCUCAGGGAGGACAGAAACCUUCGGUGGAGCUGAAGGGCAAAAGCUUGUUUGAUCUUGAUGUUCAGUAUAAAUACUGGCUGUGAAAGCGAGGCCUCUCAAUCCUUCUGACUUUAAGCAGGUG